GGUAGCAUGGCCGAGCGGGCCAAGGCACCGGAUUUAGGCUCCAGUCUCUUCGGGAGCGAGGGUUCGAAUCCCUCUUCUGCCU